CUCAGGUCAUCCAUCAGUUACUUUGAAAACAGGCAGAGCUCUGCCUUGUGACAUCUGGCCAAUCUCCGGACCACUUUGAUCUUAUAAUCAGGAACCCAUCUACCACAGCAGCCACAGCCUCCAUCACAGCUAGAUGCUGUUUCGAACAACCAUUCUGCAAUAAUAACAUUUCAGAUCCUUUCUACAGGAAGCCAUAAGUAUAGUAUACCCAUGUUUGCCUUCCAAGUAACCUCAGGUUGAGGUUGCAGGCCUCAUACGGAGGGAACCCAUUUGGGGGUCUGAGAAGAAAAAAAAAAGCCUCUGGUUGAAUGCAGCAUAAUCAUAUCUGUUCACAUUCUCAUAGCCAGAGAAAAUGACCUGGUUAAAUCCAAAAUUGAAAGGAGAAAUAUAUUCACUCUACAACAAGAAGCAGGAACAGGAGAUGAUGCCUACAUCAGAACCACCACAGACACAGCCUGGUUCCAGAGGUGAUAAAAUGUGCAAAAAGAAAGAAAGCAAAUCUUGGAAUUUUU
rnacentral:lncRNA from 1 species